rfam:Schistosoma rodhaini strain Burundi genome assembly, scaffold: SROB_scaffold0000546
CCCAAAAAACUUCUUUUCCAUGUAAAUUCAAAGAAUAACUAUGAAAAUGAGAAAUAAGGCAUAACUCUGGAGCAGUCUGAUUAUUCACAACGCAGACAAAAGCAAAAUGGCCAUGUAGACCUGAAGGUCUCACAUGAGACUGAGGGUUUGCCGUUGAUGUUGUGGUUAGUUUGGCAUUGCUUUGGCAUGUUACAUUAUGCGAUAACUCUGGAUAACUUUACUGAUCGCAGUCGGCCUUGUGUCAGCGACGGAUCUUUCAAAUGUCUGCCCUAUCAAUUUGUUGGUAGGUGAUUUGCCUACCAAGAUGAUAACGGGUAAGAGGGAAUCAGGGUUCGAUUCCGGAGAGGGAGCCUGAGAAAUGACUAUCCCAUCGAAGGACGGCUGCAGGUACGAAAAUUACUCACUCCUGGCACGUGGAGGUAGUUAUGUGGG